CAUAUACGUAUAUAAGUGUAUAUAUAUGUAAAACAUAUGUCAUUCACGUAUAGAAUAUAUGUGUAUAUAUACAUACACAAACAUACAUGCAACAUAUAUGUAUUU
rnacentral:miRNA from 1 species